AGCCUUUAGCAAAACAAGUAUUAAAGGUGACACCUGCCCAGUGAAACUUAAACGGCCGCGGUAUCCUAACCGUGCAAAGGUAGCGUAAUCACUUGUCUUAUAAAUUAAGACCCGUAUGAAUGGUUAAAUGAAUAUUUAACUGUCUCCUUUAACUAAUCAGUGAAACUGAUCUUUCAGUACAAAAGCUGAAAUAAUAACAUAAGACGAGAAGACCCCGUGGAGCUUAAAACUUUUAACAAAAUAUUAUAAAGCACAUAUUUAUGCCAUAAAGUUUUUAGUUGGGGCGACUUUGGAGCAAAACCCAACCUCCAAGAAAAGGCACCGCCUACACCAAGGCCCACAAGCCAAACUACAAAGACCCAGUAUCAAAUACUGAUCAACGAACCAAGUUACCCCAGGGAUAACAGCGCCAUCUUCUUCAAGAGUUCAUAUCGACAAGAAGGUUUACGACCUCGAUGUUGGAUCAGGACACCCAAAUGGUGCAGCCGCUAUUAAAGGUUCGUUUGUUCAACGAUUAAUAGUCCUACGUGAUCUGAGUUC
rnacentral:rRNA from 1 species